GACGAACGCUGGCGGCGUGCCUAAUACAUGCAAGUAGAACGCAGUUGCGAACGGGUGAGUAACGCGUAGGUAACUGCCUGGUAGCGGGGAAUAACUAUUGGAAACGAUAGCUAAUACCGCAUACUACCAGAUGUACCUGCGGUGUAUUAGCUAGUUGGGGAGGUAACGGCCCACCAAGGCAACGAUACAUAGCCGCACUGAGAGGGUGAUCGGCCAACCUGGGACGGAGACACGGCCCAUGCUCCUACGGGGAGGAGCAGUAGGGAAUCGUCGGCAAUGGGGGGAACCCUGACCGAGCAACGCCGCGUGAGGUAAGAAGGUUUUCGGAUCGGAAAGCUCUGUUUUUAAGGAAGCGGUACUUAAACAGAAAGGAACGGCUAACUACGUGCCAGCAGCCGCGGUAAUUC
rnacentral:rRNA from 1 species